GACGAACGCUGGCGGCGUGCCUAAUACAUGCAAGUCGACCUUAGUGGCGAACGGGAGAGUAACACGUGGGUAACCUGCCCAGCAGAAGGGGAUAACACUUGGAAACAGGUGCUAAUACCGUAUACUGAUGGAUGGACCCGCGGGGCAUUAGCUAGUUGGUGAGGUAACGGCUCACCAAGGCCACGAGGCAUCGCCGACCGGGGAGGUGGAUCGGCCACAUUGGGACUGGGACACGGCCCAAAUUCCUACGGUAGGCAGCAGUAGGGAAUCUGCGGCAAUGGACGAAAGUCUGACCGAGCCACGCCGCGUGAGUGAAGAAGGUGUUCGGAUCGUAAAGCUCUGUUGUUAGAGAAGCGGUAUCUAACCAGAAAGCCACGGCUAACUACGUGCCAGCAGCCGCGGUAAUUC
rnacentral:rRNA from 1 species